rnacentral:rRNA from 1 species
GACGAACGCUGGCGGCGUGCUUAACACAUGCAAGUCGAACGGAAAGGCCCUGCUUUUGUGGGGUGCUCGAGUGGCGAACGGGUGAGUAACACGUGAGUAACCUGCCCUUGACUUUGGGAGAACUUCAGGAAACUGGGGCUAAUACCGGGUAGGAGCUCCUGCUGCAUGGUGGGGGUUGGAAAGAUUCGGCGGUUGGGGAUGGACUCGCGGCUUAUCAGCUUGUUGGUGGGGUAGUGGCUUACCAAGGCUUUGACGGGUAGCCGGCCUGAGAGGGUGACCGGCCACAUUGGGACUGAGAUACGGCCCAGACUCCUACGGGAGGCAGCAGUGGGGAAUAUUGCACAAUGGGCGGAAGCCUGAUGCAGCAACGCCGCGUGCGGGAUGACGGCCUUCGGGUUGUAAACCGCUUUCGCCUGUGACGAAGCGUGAGUGACGGUAAUGGGUAAAGAAGCACCGGCUAACUACGUG